UGAGUUGUUGUUUGAUGGUACGUUAAGUAUGAAAAGCCUAUGUUUAACGGAGAUCAUCUGGCUUCACUAAUGAUCUAAGUCAUGUAGACUAAGAUAUUAGGUGGUGAGAAGCUGAGAGGGAGUUCAUACACACCGGGUCCCACUGUAGACACUCGGUAUUGGAUGUUUGAACUUACCCUGAUCCUUUCUAUUAGAUUCGCUGGUAAUCCUUGGGUCAGGUGUUAGUC
rnacentral:lncRNA from 1 species